UAGCUCAGUGGUAGAGCACUUGCUUAGCAUGCACGAGGUCCUGAGUUCAAUCCCCAG
rnacentral:tRNA from 1 species